UAAAUAAGAGCCUGCUUUCAUUUACAUACACACACAUUUGCACUCCCCAACAACACUUCCUUUGAAAAACAGAAUGUCACUUCCUCAAUCCAGAGGCCAGAAGUCCCUCCGUUCUGAUCUGGGGAGCCAAGACAGGAAACUCUGGUGUACAACACAGUGACUCAACAAUUCUAUACACCACUUGAGGCUCACCACAGUAAGUUCUAUGCCCAACGUGGGACUGGAACUCACAACAAUUAAAUCAGAAGUUGCAUGGUCUACUGAAUGAGCCAGCUCAGUGCCCCAGGAUUCUCAAUGAAAUAUGAUACGGACAAGAGGGGAAAAUACAAAUAUAAAUACUACCUCUGGAGUGAAGGUGAAGUUCUGAGAUGACUGCUUUAAGAUCUCUACUGCUUCAGUAUAAGAAAUGCUGGAAAGAAAGAGAGUAAAAGCAGAGAAAGGAGUAAGGAAUAACCUGAUGAAAGAAGAGCAAAAGGAGGCCAAAAAAUCUUUUACCUCGAGGCUAUAUUACCUUUGAUCUGAGAGUCAUGAGACAAAUCACUAAAUAACUGAAUGAUUUAUGAAGGGUCAUAUCCUCAAUCACUAAAAAAAAGCUGACACAUUUGGGGAGCAAACAAAAACAAGAAGAUUGGAUACUAAGCCGGCACUGCUAGGGGCACAACACACCUAUCUGUAAGAUGAAGACUUUGACCACUGGGGUUGUUAAACUGGUAUCUUUCAUAUGAACAGUAAAUUUCCAUUUGAAGAAGAAAAUCAUUGGCUUCUCUAACCUUGACUUUUAGACUAUGCUCUAUAAAUAUAUUUAAAGAAAACAGAAACUUAACUGAAGGGUUAGCAUAACCUUCAGAUGUUUUAAAAAAUAUAUUACUCAAUGGCACUAAAAUAGUAAUAUUUAAUUGUUUAUACUUUAUGAGGGGAAAAAUACUUUGUCAUAAGAUUCUGAUUUAAUAUUUUCAUCAAGAUAAUAAUUUCCACAGAAUGUAAUUUAUAGAAGGGAGAAAAUUAAGAGAAGCAGAUUACUUCUGGGGGGAGCAUACCGUUUUUUCUGCCUUUAAGAAAAAGUCUGUAUUUCAAUUAAUUAAAAAUCAUUGAACAGUAUAUGCUGAGUACCACUCGAUGGAAUACUAAAUACAAAUUUUUUAGUUAUAGAAUAUGUAAUUAUAAUGUUUAAUAAAUUCUAAC